GUGCAGCAGUCGCGAAUUUUUCUCAAUGGGGGAAACCCUGAAGGAGCGACGCCGCGUGGAGGAUGAAGGUCUUCGGGUUGUAAACUCCUGUCAUUUGAGUACAAGGUGCACAUGUUAGCUGCAUGUGCAUUGAUAGUAUCAGAAGAGGAAGGGACGGCUAACUCUGUGCCAGCAGCCGCGGUAAUACAGAGGUCCCAAGCGUUGUUCGGAUUCAUUGGGCGUAAAGGGUGUGUAGGUGGCGCCGUAAGUCGGGUGUGAAAUCUCGGGGCUUAACUCCGAAACUGCAUUCGAUACUGCGGUGCUUGAGGACUGGAGAGGAGACUGGAAUUCAUGGUGUAGCAGUGAAAUGCGUAGAGAUCAUGAGGAAGACCAGUGGCGAAGGCGGGUCUCUGGACAGUUCCUGACACUGAGACACGAAGGCCAGGGGAGCAAACGGGAUUAGAUACCCCCGUAGU
rnacentral:rRNA from 1 species